rnacentral:lncRNA from 1 species
GAGCACUCUGCUGCUACCCCCCAGUAUAAGGCACUCUGCUGCUAUUCCCCCCAGUAUGAGGCACUCUUCUGCUACCCCCAAGUAUGGGGCAAUCUGCUGCUAUUCCCCCCAAUAUGAGGCACUCUGCUAUCCCUCCAGUAUGAGUCACUCUGCUAUCCCCCCAGUAUGAGUCACUCUGCUAUCCCCCCAGUAUGAGGCACUCUGCUGCUGUCUCCCUAAUAAUGAGUACCAAAGGAGAAGUUUGCUGCUGAUUCUCCCACAGGGAUUUUGAUGCCCCCCCCUUCCCCCCAGUACAGGGUGUUUUGCUGUUGACCCCAGUUAGGGGUAUUUUGAUAUUAUUCUCCCCCCAGUAAGGGGGUGUUUUGAUAUUAUUCUCCCCCAGUAAGGGGGUGUUUUGAUAUUAUUCUCCCCCCAGUAUGGGGGUGUUUUGAUAUUAUUCUCCCCCAGUAAGGGGGUGUUUUGAUAUUAUUCUCCCCCCAGUAAGGAGGUGUUUUGAUAUUAUUCUCCCCCCAGUAAGGGGGUGUUUUGAUAUUAUUCUCCCCCAGUAAGGGGGUGUUUUGAUAUUAUUCUCCCCCCAGUAAGGGGGUGUUUUGAUAUUAUUCUCCCCCAGUAAGGGGGUGUUUUGAUAUUAUUCCCCCCCAGUAAGGGGGUGUUUUGAUAUUAUUCUCCCCCCAGUAAGGGGUGUUUUGAUAUUAUUCCCCCCCAGUAAGGGGGUGUUUUGAUAUUAUUCUCCCCCAGUAAGGGGGUGUUUUGAUAUUAUUCUCCCCCAGUAAGGGGGUGUUUUGAUAUUAUUCUCCCCCAGUAAAGGGGUGUUUUGAUAUUAUUCUCCCCCAGUAAGGGGGUGUUUUGAUAUUAUUCUCCCCCAGUAAGGGGUGCUAUGCCCAUUACAGGUAUUCAGCCUUUAAGCAGCCUGUUGCUGGUACUGGGGUGUCUUGCUGUUGGGGGUCCCUGUCUGCCCACCUGGGGGUCCUUCCUUGCAUCCCUGAGCACGUGCUCCCCCCUCCCUCACUGACAUGCCGUCUCCAUGGAAACCCCAGGACGCAGCCCCUCUCCGUAAUCUUGUUUAUGGUCUCUGCAGCCGGCUCACAGUGUGCGGGACAGCGACACCUAGCGGCCAACUAUCCCACUGCAGCACAGACACCUAGUGCAUACAGACAACAAGGAACAACUGCAGUGACUGCGGGGAGUAAAGGGUUAAUACUGACUGACUGCGGGGAGUAAAGGGUUAAUACUGACUGACUGCGGGGAGUAAAGGGUUAAUGCUGACUGACUGCGGGGAGUAAAGGGUUAAUACUGACUGACCGCGGGGAGUAAAGGGUUAAUACGGACUGACUGCGGGGAAUAAAGGGUUAAUACUGACUGACUGCGGGGAGUAAAGGGUUAAUACUGACUGACUGCGGGGAAUAAAGGGUUAAGACUGACUGCCUGCGGGGAGUAAAGGGUUAAUACUGAUGGACUGCAGAGAGUAAAGGGUUAAUACUGACUGACUGCGGAGAGUAAAGGGUUAAUACUGACUGACUGCGGAGAGUAAAGGGUUAAUACUGACUGACUGCUGGGAUUAAAGGGUUAAUACUGACUGACUGCGGGGAGUAAAGGGUUAAUACUGACUGACUGCGGGGAUUAAAGGGUUAAUACUGUCUGACUGCGAGGAGUAAAGGGUUAAUACUGAUGGACUGCGGAGAGUAAAGGGUUAAUACUGACUGACUGCGGGGAUUAAAGGGUUAAUACUGACUGACUGCGGGGAGUAAAGGGUUAAUACUGACUGACUGACUGCGGGGAUUAAGGGGUUAAUACUGACUGACUGCGGGGAGUAAAGGGUUAAUACUGACGGCGGGGAGUAAAGAGUUAAUACCGAUUGACUGACUGCGGGGAGUAAAGGGUUAAUACUGACUGCGGGGAGUAAAGGGUUAAUCCUGACUGACUGCGGGGAUUAAAGGGUUAAUACUGACAGACUGACUGCGGGGAGUAAAGGGUUAAUACUGAUGGACUGCGGAGAGUAAAGGUUUAAUACUGACUCACUGACUACGGGGAGUAAAGGGUUAAUACUGACUGACUGACUGCGGGGAUUAAAGGGUUAAUACUGACUGACUGCGGGGAGUAAAGGGUUAAUACUGACUGCGGGGAUUAAAGGGUUAAUACUGACUGACUAUGGGGAGUAAAGGGUUAAAACUGACUGCGGGGAGUAAAGGCUUAAUACCAACUGACUGACUGCGGGGAGUAAAGGGUUAAUACUGACUGCGGGGAGUAAAGGGUUAAUACUGACUGACUGCAGGGAGUAAAGGGUUAAUACUGACUGACUGACUGCGGGGAGUAAAGGGUCAAUACUGACUGACUGCGGGGAGUAAAGGGUUAAUACUGACUGACUGCGGAGAGUAAAGGGUUCAUACUGACUGACUGCGGGGAGUAAAGGGCUAAUACUGACUGACUGCGGAGAGUAAAGGGUUAAUACUGACUGACUGCGGAGAGUAAAGGGUUAAUACUGACUGACUGCGGGGAGUUAAGAGCUAAAACUGACUGCAGGGAGUAAAGGGUUAAUACUGACUGACUGCGGGGAGUAAAGCGUUAAUACUGACUGCAGGGAGUAAAGGGUUAAUACUGACUGACUGAAGGGAGUAAAGGGUUUAUACUGACUAACUGACUGUGGGGAGUUAAGAGCUAAAACUGACUGCGGGGAGUAAAGGGUUAAUACUGACUGACUGUGGAGAGUAAAGGGUUAAUACUGACUGACUGCAGGGAGUAAAGGGUUAAUACUGACUGACUGUGGGCAGUUAAGCGCUAAUACUGACUGCGGGGAGUAAAGGCUUAAUACUGACUGACUGCGGGGAGUAAAGGGUUAAUACUAACGGACUAACUGCGGGGAGUACAGGGUUAAUACUGACUGACUGCGGGGAGUAAAGGGUUAAUACUAACUUACUGACUGCUGGGAGUAAAGGGUUAAUACUGACUGACUGCGGGGAGUAAAGGGUUAAUACUGACUGUGGGGAGUAAAGAGUUAAUACUCACUGAAUAACUGCGGGGAGUAAAGGGUUAAUACUCACUGACUGACUGCGGGGAGUAAAGGGUUAAUACUGACUGACUGCGGGAAGUAAAUGGUUAAUACUGACUGCGGGGAGUAAAGGGUUAAUACUGACUGACUGUGGAGAGUAAAGGGUUAAUACGGACUGACUGCGAGUAGUAAAGGGUUAAUACUGACUGACUAACUGCGGGGAGUAAAGGGUUAAUACGGACUGACUGCGGAGAGUAAAGGGUUAACACUGACUUACUAACUGCGGGGAGUAAAGGGUUAAUACUCACUGACUGCGGAGAGUAAAGGGUUAAUACUGACUGACUAACUGCGGGGAGUAAAGGGUAAAUACUGACUGUAUUGUAUAGUGAUUCUGUGUAUUACAGGGCGAUAUAAUGGGCUGGAUGUAAUGUAUAGUGAAACUGUGAAUUACAAGGUGAUAUAAUGGGUUGAAUGAAAUGUAUGGCGAUACUGUGUAUUACAGGGUGAUAUAAUGGGUUGGAUGAAAUGUAUAGCGAUACUGUGUAUUACAGGUUGAUAUAAUGGGUUGGAUGAAAUGUAUAGCGAUACUGUGUAUUACAGGUUGAUAUAAUGGGUUGGAUGAAAUGUAUAGCGAUACUGUGUAUUACUGGGUGAUAUAAUGGGUUGGAUGUAAUGUAUAGCGAUACUGUGUAUUACAGGGUGAUAUAAUGGGUUGGAUGUAAUGUAUAGUGAUACUGUGUAUUACAGGGUGAUAUAAUGGGUUGGAUGUAAUGUAUAGUGAUACUGUGUAUUACAGGGUGAUAUCAUGGGUUGGAUGUAAUGUAUAGCGAUGCUGUGUAUUACAGGGUGAUAUAAUGGGUUGGAUGAAAUGUAUAGCGAUACUGUGUAUUACAGGGUGAUAUCAUGGGUUGGAUGUAAUGUAUAGUGAUUCUGUGUAUUACAGGGUGAUUUAAUGGGCUGGUUGUAAUGUAUAGUGAUACUGUGUAUUACUGGGUGAUAUAUUGGGUUUGGGGUAAUAUAUAGUGAUAAUUUGUAUUAUAGCGUAACGUUAUAAGAGUUAUAGGUGCAGUGGCGGAACUACCACAGUCGCAGGGGGUCGUAGCUGCAACACAGGCCCAUCACUUCAGGGGGCCUGGCCGCCCUGCUGACCCUACAACCGUGGGCCACCAAGAGGAGCACUGUCACGGGGGCGGCGCACCUAGGGCACUUCCGAAUUGGGGCUUGUGCAGUGAGGCAGAUUAAGCACCUGCUUGCCUGGAUGGCAGGUGCCUACUCUGCCGAUAUAUAUCAAAGGGAGGCGGUAAGGGAGCAUUGAUCUGACAGUUCCUCUGACAGGUGGGAG